AACAUGGAUGAAGCUAAAAAACAUACUGUUUCGACUCCCUGACUCUUCAAAGUCCUUUUGGGAUUUUUGAUGUGCUUAGCUGAGUGUCUCAUGGGAGCCAGAGUGUUUAUUGUUAAAAACAGACAACAAAAGAAUAUUCAAAGCAGUCUCACACCACAUGGAUACCAAAGCUCACAAUAAAGAAAUAAGACUGCAGCUCUGUCUCAUUGGUUUUCAGAACUGAAGCCAUGCUUAGAGAGACAGCUGGGGAGGCUUGGCAUUGUUCAGCUAGAGGUAAAAUUCUUGUGGCCCAGAAGAACCAGAGGAAAACAUUUUCCAAGAAUGCGUUCCUUAAUUAAAGAGGAAAGUCAGAGAUGUGAUCAGAUUCCUAUAGAGAUCAGAUAUAUGCAUUGUAGUCCCAAUCGUAAGUGCAGACUAGGCCAUGUGACCUUACUAUUCUCAUGGCCCUAAUGCAGCCUCCAGAAAAUCAAAGUCUUUCGGUUCUG
rnacentral:ncRNA from 1 species